rnacentral:rRNA from 1 species
UACGAAGGGGGCUAGCGUUGCUCGGAAUCACUGGGCGUAAAGGGUGCGUAGGCGGGCCUUUAAGUCAGGGGUGAAAUCCUGGAGCUCAACUCCAGAACUGCCUUUGAUACUGAAGAUCUUGAGUUCGGGAGAGGUGAGUGGAACUGCGAGUGUAGAGGUGAAAUUCGUAGAUAUUCGGAAGAACACCAGUGGCGAAGGCGACACACUGGGCCAUUACUGACGCUGAGGUGCGAAAGCGUGGGGAGCAAACAGG